rnacentral:rRNA from 1 species
UGGGGAAUAUUGCAAAAUGGGCGCAAGCCUGAUGCAGCCAUGCCGCGUGUGUGAAGAAGGCCUUCGGGUUGUAAAGCACUUUCAGCGGGGAGGAAGGCGAUAAGGUUAAUAACCUUGUCGAUUGACGUUACCCGCAGAAGAAGCACCGGCUAACUCCGUGCCAGCAGCCGCGGUAAUACGGAGGGUGCAAGCGUUAAUCGGAAUUACUGGGCGUAAAGCGCACGCAGGCGGUCUGUCAAGUCGGAUGUGAAAUCCCCGGGCUCAACCUGGGAACUGCAUUCGAAACUGGCAGGCUAGAGUCUUGUAGAGGGGGGUAGAAUUCCAGGUGUAGCGGUGAAAUGCGUAGAGAUCUGGAGGAAUACCGGUGGCGAAGGCGGCCCCCUGGACAAAGACUGACGCUCAGGUGCGAAAGCGUGGGGAGCAAACAGG